AUAAACAUCCAUUUCCUUGUGAUUUUAUUUUUCUUCUCACAGAAAGCCACUUGGGUUGAGAUCUAUGAAAAUAAAAGCACCCUUUCGGGGUGUCAGCCUGCUACGUAAACAACCAAAAUCCUACUUCAUUUGCCUUACAGGAACUCUAAGUGUUGCUAUGAGGAUUUUCUACUCCUCUUAUCAUAAGAUAGAAACUAGAACACUGAAUAUACUAGCAAAAAAGAAAAAGAAAAGAAAAAAAGACUGAAGAUCUCUGCCACCUCUGAAAGGGAAGAAGAGAGAAGUGUCACGAAUACCCAUUUCCUUGAUGAUUUAAGGACACAUUAGGCAUCCAACAUGGUUACAGAUGCUUAAGGGUCAAGCACGACUUUGAGCCACUCGGUCGAACAAUGGAGAGUCUGAAAAUCUUGGCUUCUGUCUACGCGACAGUUAUUAGCUGAAUGGCAGUCUGAUUUAUUUGCAAAGUGACAAUUACAUGUAGCGGACACUGUGAGGCUCACCAACAUCCCCUCCUCAGGUUCUUGCCCCCAUCCUCCAGCUGCUGGGGACAUUGGUUGCUGUCAGCUCCCUGCUGCCACUCUCACUGCAAACUUCCUCACCCAGGCUAAUGCCCCUCCUGAUGGCUGGCUUUCCUGAGCACACAAAAGCUACUGGCUUACCCCACUUCGUGAUAACUCCAGAUGGACAUCCCAGCCCCAGGGCUUCCCUGAAGAUACGUGAAUGGGCCUCAGUUGCAGCUGCCUUUCAGAAUAGCUAACCCUUCUGUCUAAUCCUCUCAGGAAUCCCUGGAGAGCGCUCCUCAAUAAACUUUCUUCA
rnacentral:lncRNA from 10 species